UCAGCUCUUCCCUCCUGUGCUGCUUCCAUCUCAGGCCCCACAUGCUGUCCCCUGGGAGCCCCGGAAUCCCCUCUGGCUGUGACCCCAUCAAUGCUGCAGCACCUCCCAGCUCACCUGUGCUUAAGAAAGAGCACAGGCCUUCCCCAGUAGCUUCUGCAGUGGUCCUGAUCUUUCUCUGAUUGGCCCUGAUGAGGUCAUGUGACCCAUACCCCACAGAGUGCUGUCCUAGGGAGGAUGUCUGUUUACUAUGUGGGCCCCAUCACGUGAUUUACGUGUACAAAAAGGCGAGGGCCCCACCUGGCCCAAAGGGACAGAAUGUGGGGAGGGGCAGCCCACAGGGAGAGCCAAGAGCACCAGGGGAGGCAGGGGAGGGGCUGGGGAGGAGCCUCGUGUCCGGGUGGUGAGUCCUUCACAGCAGAGCCGUCCAUCCUGGUGUUCAGGGGAUGCCGUCUCUAUUCACUCCCCGGUGGAACCUUUCUGGGCUUGUCGAGUCCGCAUCAGCCCCCAGGAGUGUGUCUGCCGCACACUUGACCGGCAUCCGUCAUGCACAAGAAGCAGAAGAAAGGCUGAAAGCCCUGGUCUGUUUCACACCUGAGUGAAAAAUUAAGUCUUUUCAUCCGUGAGGACUUCAGUCCUAGAGUAACGACCCGGGCCGCUGGACUCCCGAGGGGGCUUCCGUCUGCUCCAUCACUCAGGACCCCAAUCCCAGAGCUGAGACGGGGCAGGCCCUGAUUUUUCCUGCAGUGCGUCUACCGCAAUUUAUUGCCCAGGAUUAAUGCUGAGGCUGUUUUCCUGCUUGUGACUGAGAGCGUGCAGACAGACCAAGACGGAGAGGCGGGCAGGACUCCCCAACCUGGGAACAGUCAGAGGCAAGAGCUCAGCUCCAGGUCGGGCAGGCCGGCGCCUGGAUUCCACACUCACAACCGUGCGGCUCAGGCCUCAGUUUACCCACCUGUAAAAUGCAGAUAACUGUCGUAUUGACACGAUCGCCUUGUGAGGGCAAAUGAGGCAGUCCUGUGAAGAUGGCGUGGACGCAUCACGGCUGUCGAUCAUGAGUAAUAUUGAUAUAAUACAACCACGUAGGGUUGGGUACUGUUGUUAAUGCCACUGAGGAUGUUUUUAUUGAUUAUUUUGAAGCCCCGCUGUGAAUCUACCCUUUUACCUGAUCCUAAAUCUCUCCUGCUGCUGCAAAGCUACCCUGAGACACACCCAGGAGGUGGGUUCUGGGUUCUGGAGCCCCGUCACCCGGCCAG
rnacentral:lncRNA from 1 species